CUCAGGAGAAGGAACUCGGCAAAUUGACACCGUAACUUCGGAAGAAGGUGUGCCUCUAGUAUGUGUAGAGAUUUACUCUCGAAGCAGAAUGAGGCCGCAGAGAAUCGGUGGCUGCAACUGUUUAUUAAAAACACAGCACUCUGCAAAGACGAAAGUCGACGUAUAGGGUGUGACUCCUGCCCGGUGCUGGAAGAUUAAAUGAUGGGGUGCAAGCUCUUGAUUGAAGUCCCAGUAAACGGCGGCCGUAACUAUAACGGUCCUAAGGUAGCGAAAUUCCUUGUCGGGUAAGUUCCGACCUGCACGAAUGGAGUAAUGAUGGCCACACUGUCUCCUCCAGAGACUCAGCGAAGUUGAAAUGUUUGUGAUGAUGCAAUCUCCCCGCGGAAAGACGGAAAGACCCCAUGAACCUUUACUGUAGCUUUGUAUUGGACUUUGAACAGAUCUGUGUAGGAUAGGUGGGAGGCUUUGAAGCGGUGCCGCUAGGUGUCGUGGAGCCAACGUUGAAAUACCACCCUGGUGUGUUUGAGGUUCUAACCUUGGCCCGUUAUCCGGGUUGGGGACAGUGUAUGGUGGGCAGUUUGACUGGGGCGGUCUCCUCCCAAAGUGUAACGGAGGAGUUCGAAGGUACGCUAGUUACGGUCGGACAUCGUGCUAAUAGUGCAAUGGCAUAAGCGUGCUUAACUGCGAGACUGACAAGUCGAGCAGAUACGAAAGUAGGACAUAGUGAUCCGGUGGUUCUGUAUGGAAGGGCCAUCGCUCAACGGAUAAAAGGUACUCCGGGGAUAACAGGCUGAUACCGCCCAAGAGUUCAUAUCGACGGCGGUGUUUGGCACCUCGAUGUCGGCUCAUCUCAUCCUGGGGCUGUAGCCGGUCCCAAGGGUAUGGCUGUUCGCCAUUUAAAGAGGUACGUGAGCUGGGUUUAAAACGUCGUGAGACAGUUUGGUCCCUAUCUUCCGUGGGCGCUGCAGAUUUGAGGAAGCCUGCUCCUAGUACGAGAGGACCGGAGUGGACACACCUCUGGUGUAUCGGUUGUCACGCCAGUGGCAUUGCCGAGUAGCUAAGUGUGGAAGAGAUAACCGCUGAAAGCAUCUAAGCGGGAAACUCGUCUCAAGAUGAGUCUUGCCGGGGCCUUGAGCCCCCUGAAGGGUCGUUGUAGACCACGACGUUGAUAGGUUGGGUGUGGAAGCGCAGUAAUGCGUUAAGCUAACCAAUACUAAUUGCCCGUGAGGCUUGACCCU
rnacentral:rRNA from 1 species